GCAAAUCCGAAAGUCGGUCGAAUUCCAUGACGAUUUAUUUUUCUAAUAGUGUGCAAAAGAUUUUCCCAAGCGAUACCAAAAAUCAAUUUUCUCAAUCCAAUUAAUUCCUCGGUCUCUCGCUCGUCCGGACGUCGGUUCGCUCUGUUCUCCGCUCUGACCGAUUCCCCUGCUAUUUUUUUCUCUGAGUGCCAUCUCCCUGCAGCCAUGGUCGAGCUCCUUUUCCCCUGCCAUGGACGUGCCCCUCCCUGCACCUCCCCUCCAUGGUGGCUUCCAACAUCCACGUCGCCGAGCUUCUCCCUGGCCGAGGGCACCCUGGAGCUCGUCGCGCCCCAUGCUCGGGCUUGCUCCCUGUCUGUACCCAUCUCUCAAGCUGCUGCCACAUGCCCCUAUGUUUCCCCUCGCAGUUGUAGCCUCGGCGUCAUCGUCAAGAUUUCCUUGUUGUGCCUUGCACCGUCGACGUUAGUUGGGCGUUCGAUAAAAUUCCUAAACCAACCAGCAUGUUUUGAAUAGCCCCGUCCGUGGCGUCGUCGACCCUCGCUAGCUGUCGCCAUCACGUUUGGCGCUUUGCUUGAUCAGUGAAGUGUCGCCGAGUGGGCAAUGCGCGCAACUAGUCUCUGUUCUUCCAGGGUAACUACAGUGAUGGUUUACUGUAUUUUAUAAAAAAUUGAUUGAUGUCGUGCGUAUGUAUGUGCGUACAUGUAUGUGUGUGGUGGUGGUUGUUUCCGCAUUUGAAAAGCAGGCGUAGUGUUGACAUGAGAAUUCGGUUUAUAGUGCAAAUCAUGUGAACAAUGCAUCAGUAAUUAUGUAU